rnacentral:rRNA from 1 species
GACGAACGCUGGCGGCGUGCUUAACACAUGCAAGUCGAACGGAAAGGCCCUGCUUUUGUGGGGUGCUCGAGUGGCGAACGGGUGAGUAACACGUGAGUAACCUGCCCUUGACUUUGGGAUAACUUCAGGAAACUGGGGCUAAUACCGGAUAGGAGCUCCUGCUGCAUGGUGGGGGUUGGAAAGUUUCGGCGGUUGGGGAUGGACUCGCGGCUUAUCAGCUUGUUGGUGGGGUAGUGGCUUACCAAGGCUUUGACGGGUAGCCGGCCUGAGAGGGUGACCGGCCACAUUGGGACUGAGAUACGGCCCAGACUCCUACGGGAGGCAGCAGUGGGGAAUAUUGCACAAUGGGCGGAAGCCUGAUGCAGCAACGCCGCGUGCGGGAUGACGGCCUUCGGGUUGUAAACCGCUUUCGCCUGUGACGAAGCGUGAGUGACGGUAAUGGGUAAAGAAGCACCGGCUAACUACGUGCCAGCAGCCGCGGUGAUACGUAGGGUGCGAGCGUUGUCCGGAUUUAUUGGGCGCAAAGGGCUCGUAGGUGGUUGAUCGCGUCGGAAGUGUAAUCUUGGGGCUUAACCCUGAGCGUGCUUUCGAUACGGGUUGACUUGAGGAAGGUAGGGGAGAAUGGAAUUCCUGGUGGAGCGGUGGAAUGCGCAGAUAUCAGGAGGAACACCAGUGGCGAAGGCGGUUCUCUGGGCCCUUCCUGACGCUGAGGAGCGAAAGCGUGGGGAGCGAACAGGCUUAGAUACCCUGGUAGUCCACGCUGUAAACGGUGGGUACUAGGUGUGGGGUCCAUUCCACGGGUUCCGUGCCGUAGCUAACGCUUUAAGUACCCCGCCUGGGGAGUACGGCCGCAAGGCUAAAACUCAAAGGAAUUGACGGGGCCCCGCACAAGCGGCGGAGCAUGCGGAUUAAUUCGAUGCAACGCGUAGAACCUUACCUGGGUUUGACAUGGAUCGGGAGUGCUCAGAGAUGGGUGUGCCUCUUUUGGGGUCGGUUCACAGGUGGUGCAUGGCUGUCGGCAGCUCGUGUCGUGAGAUGUUGGGUUAAGUCCCGCAACGAGCGCAACCCUUGUUCACUGUUGCCAGCACGUUAUGGUGGGGACUCAGUGGAGACCGCCGGGGUCAACUCGGAGGAAGGUGGGGAUGACGUCAAGUCAUCAUGCCCCUUAUGUCCAGGGCUUCACGCAUGCUACAAUGGCUGGUACAGAGAGUGGCGAGCCUGUGAGGGUGAGCGAAUCUCGGAAAGCCGGUCUCAGUUCGGAUUGGGGUCUGCAACUCGACCUCAUGAAGUCGGAGUCGCUAGUAAUCGCAGAUCAGCAACGCUGCGGUGAAUACGUUCCCGGG